rnacentral:rRNA from 1 species
AAAUAUAAAUAUCAGUUUUUUGUGGAUGCUUUGGUUUAAAAGAAGAAGGACGUUGUGCAAAACGAAAUGUUAUACUGAGAGUGUAAUCUGCGACGUAUAAAUUUCCUCCGUGGGAAACCACCACUCAUUUUUUAUUCAACUGGGUGAACUGAAACAUCUUAGUAACCCAAGGAAAAGAAAUCAACCGAGAUUCCGUAAGUAUCGGCGAGAGAACAUGGAACAGACCAAACCCCUUUAUUCUGGAAUGCAGAAAGGUGUGGAAAAAUCUACCAAAGAAGGUGAAAGUCCUGUAGGCGUUAUAGGAAAGGUGUGUUCAAAAAAGUAGAACGACGAUGUUUGUUUGAAUACAGGAGGUCCACCUUCUAGGUCUAAAUAUGCUUUUGAAACCAAUAGUGAACAAGUACCGUGAGGGAAAAGUGAAAAGAACCUUACUUAAAGGAGUGAAAUAGAACCUGAAACAAAAAAUAAUCAUUCAAUCGAUUUUCUUCCUACGGAAAGUCGGUGUACCUUUUGCAUAAUGGGUCAGCGAGUAAAUAAAAAAAGCGUUGCUUAAACGGUUACGUGGAGGCAAAGCAAAAGCGAGUAUCAAAAGUGCGUGUGUUUUUUUUAUUUGACCCGAAACUAAGUGAUCUAGCUUUGACCAGGCUGAAGAAAGGGUAAAAGUUUUUGGAGGGCCGAACUGACGUCUGUUGCAAUAGACGCAGAUGAGUUGAGGCUAGGGGUGAAAGGCCAAUCAAACUUAGAGAUAGCUGGUUCUCCGCGAAAUUUAUUGAGGUAAAGCGUUCAAUGAGAGAGAAAGGGGGUAGAGCACUCAUUAGGUAAAGGGGAUCCAAAGUCUUACUAAACGUAUUGAAACUCCGAAUACUUUUCUUUUCUAUCUUGAGCAGACAGACUUAAAGUGCUAAGGUUUUAAGUCAAAAGGGAAACAGCCCAGACUGUCCGCUAAGGUCCCUAAACAUUUUGGAAGUGGAAAAAGCGUUUUAUAACGAAGACAGCUAGGAGAUUGGCUUGGAAGCAGCCAUUCUAUAAUGAAAGCGUAAUAGCUCACUAGUUGAGUUUUAAAGCACUGAGAAUGUAUCGGGGCUUCACAAAAUUACCCAAGCGACAGAUAUUAUUGGUAGCGGAGCGUUUUGUAGACCAUUGAAGAGGUUUUGUGAAAAACUUUGGAGGAUUCAAAAGUGAGAAUGCUGACAUGAGUAACGACAAAUCAUGUGACAAUCAUGAUCGCCGUAAGUUCAAGGGUUUCUGCGUUCUGUUUUUCAGCGCAGAGUGAGUCGGUCUCUAAGUGUGUUUUUGAGAAAAAACCACGAUGAAACAAAUGAAAGAUGACGAAAUGCUAAGUAGAAAUCAAGAGUGUAUUGGAUGGCUUUGUGGUUUCUAUCAUUUCCAGGAAAACUCUUCAUAAACUGUGACCGUACCCGAAACCGACACUGGUGAACGAGUCGAAUAGACUCAGGCGUGGAGCGAACCAUAUUGAAGGAACUCGGCAAAUUUUUCCUGUACCUUUGGAAGAAAGGAAGCCAAUUUUGGUGACACAAAAAUGGGGGUGACGACUUUUUACUAAAAAAUUUAGACUCUGCAAAAUGGGAACAUGAUGUAUAGGGUCUGACGCCUGCCCGGUGCUUGAAGCUUAACCUGUAUACUGUUUUGGUAUAUUGUGAAGGCCUAGUAAACGGCGGUUGUAACUAUAACAAUCAUAAAGUAGCGAAAUUCAUUGUCAGCUAAUUCCUGACCUGCAUGAAAGGCGUAACGAUUGCCCCACUGUCUCCAGUAUGGACUCCGUGAAAUUGAACUCUCCGUGCAGAUGCGGAGAAUGUGCCCCAAGACGAGAAGACCCUAUGCAUCUUUACUGUACAUUUACACUGGAAAAAAGCUUGAAUUG